rnacentral:rRNA from 1 species
GGUGUAUCGGUUAUGCUGCCAAGUGUACUGCCGAGUAGCCGCGUUCGGUCUGGAUAAGCGCUGAAAGCAUCUAAGCGCGAAGCCAUCCCCAAGAUAAGUCUUCCCUUGAGGGGCGUAGGAGACGACUACGUUGAUAGGCUGCAGGUGUAAAGACAGUAAUGUCAAAGCCGAGCAGUACUAAUUACCCGAACGGCUUUCUUAC